rnacentral:rRNA from 1 species
ACAACGAAGAGUUUGAUCCUGGCUCAGGAUGAACGCUAGCGGCAGGCUUAACACAUGCAAGUCGAGGGGUAAUCACGCUUUCGGGCGUGAACGACCGGCGCACGGGUGCGUAACGCGUAUACAAUUUGCCUUAAACUGGGAGAUAGCCCGAAGAAAUUUGGAUUAAUAUCCCAUAAUAUAUUUAUUUGGCAUCAUUUAGAUAUUAAAGUUACGGCGGUUUAAGAUGAGUAUGCGUCCUAUUAGCUAUUAUGUGAGGUAACGGCUUACAUAGGCUAUGAUAGGUAGGGGUUCUGAGAGGGAUACCCCCCACACUGGUACUGAGACACGGACCAGACUCCUACGGGAGGCAGCAGUGAGGAAUAUUGGACAAUGGGAGCAAUCCUGAUCCAG